AUGUGGCAGAUGAUCCUGGGCAAGGUCCUUGACCCGUCUGUGCCUCAACUUCUCCAUCCCUCACUUCCUCGCCUUCUUCACUGCCUCAUUUCUUCAUCUGAGGGGUCUAUCAGAUCUUCUCUAACUUUGCUUACAGUUCUAAAGUCCUAUGAUCCUGUGGAAAUUAAUAAACAGAAACCUCAUUAAACUGAGGUCGAAAGGGAAAAGGGAGAGCUUUCCUGCCCUAAGUUGGUAGCAGAGACCAACAGGAAGAAGAAAGACUUCCUCUUCUUGAUUGGCAAGAAGCUCGGCCAAUGAGAGAUGGUCACAACUCAGCCAAUGAAAGGCCACUACACUUGGAACUCUCAGUCUCCUCCAAGGCACUCUGCUUACAAUAGCCCUCCCAACUUCCUCUUCCCAUCUUGAAAAGUUUCUCUUCCCCUUGCUGCUCAGGACUUGCAUGUGGUUUGCUAUGGUUGCAGACCCUUAAUUGCAAUUCUUUGCUGAUCCUGAAUAAACUCAAUUUUUCUGGAGAAAUAACUGGCUAUUUAAGGUCCACAAUUCCAUGACUUGCUCAAAGUGAUACAGGUAGUCCACGGCAGAGCUGGGGCCUGCAUCUAUGACUCUUGACUUCUAAACACUGCUCCUUCCACUAAGAUGACGGUCCUGAUAAACCAGCAUAAAAUAGACCACAAUAUCAAUAACAACAAAACCCAUGGGCCAAGAAACAGGACAUAAAGAUGUUUCAGGAACGCUCCUGGCCCGAUGGCAUCUAGGAACUCCAGGAAGCACCUCCCUGACGUGUAAGGUAUGACCAGCUGCCCCAGGGAGAGAGCAAAAGCAGGCUUCCCAAGUAGAGUUUUUGGUUCGGCAACAAGAGGAGCUCCCCUCCACGGCCCAGUCAUAGCUAUGGAAGGGAAAGGGCUUGAGCCUGGAGAGGACAGGGAGAAGGCCAUCCUGUGCGGCUUCCCGGGAAUGGGGCAGGUAGCAGCGGAUGCUGCGGGUGUAAAUGAGGUGCCAGCCAUGACAGGCAAAGGAGAAGCAGGCGCUGGGUCCAGACAGCUAACCUUCACUGAGUGAUUUCCAAGGCUGGACAUGGUUCUCAGUAUUUCAUAUACCUCACAAUUCUCAAUAUCUCACAGGUUGUGAGAUUUAAUUUUCGCAACUUUCUGCAUAGGCACUAAUAUUAUCCCUCAUCGCACAGAUAAGCUGACCGAGGCCCAGGAAG